rnacentral:misc_RNA from 1 species
AUCAGAAUUCGAUCACAGUAGACGCUGAUGCGAUAUCCAGGCAGUUGAUCUACAAGAUUAAGUUUCACGGCGAAUUCCCGCAUAUAAUACAUUAAAUAACUCCCAUGC